GGGGGUAUAGCUCAAUGGCACAGUGCAUGCCUCGCAUGCAAAAGGUCCUGGGUUCAAUCCUCAGUAUCCCAU
rnacentral:tRNA from 1 species